rnacentral:rRNA from 1 species
AUGUACUGUGCGCUCACACAUUCUGAGGUACCAGUGAGUAAUAACAAGAAAAAUUGGAAGUCCAAGAUUCCACUAAAAGUGAAAAUCCUCAUGUGGUAUCUUCAUAAAGUUGUGUUAUUAACCGAAGACAACCUCGCACGGCACAACUGGCCAGGGAGUAAGAAGUGUUGUUUUUGUACUCAUGACGAGACAAUCAAACACCUCUUUUUCCAAUGCAAGUUUGCACGUUCUACGUGA